GGGUGAAUGAUGACACCAAAAUCUGUCUUAAAGAGAUAUGAUGACAUAAAAAUCAUGUUCGAUAGGAUUAUGCUAAGGCAC